AAUCCGCUCGCUCGGUAUCAAGAGAAGAAACACUUUCAUGAAGGCUUUUAAUCUUCGACUCUAAGUCUCCAACGAUGCUCGUUAAUGAAUCCUUUGAUUGAGAAGUAACUUUAAUAUUCCUAUUUAACGUCUGCAAUUUGAACAAUAGAUUUGAGUUUAAUUUGUCCGCCUCACUUCGAAGUCCUUCAUACUCCUCUUUAUCCUCUGGUAACAAUCGCAACCCUUUGAGUUGCUCUUUUUCCUGCAUGUCUUUUAAAAACUCUUUUUCAGCAGCUGAGAGUGAAGUCAAUUGAUUUUCUAAUACUUGUAACGUACUAGCUUGGUCAGAAUAAUCUUUUUCUAUUUCCGCAGCUUUUCUUUGAAUUUUUCGGAGAUUUGACUUAGACUCUAGGGCUUUCUCGGCAAUUGAAAUGAGCUCUGGACGUUUCGAAGCAAUCAACUUUUCUUGUUUUCGAACUUUUCUAUCGAAUGCAAGAAGGUUUCUUCGUAUACUGCCCUCUUUUUCUUUCAACUUUUCUAUCUCUUUAGUGUUCUCAUCUCGCCUUUCGAUAAGUUGAAUGGAAUCUGCCUUUAAUCGAGUAACCUCUGCCAUAUUAGAACUAAUACUUUUCUCUAGAUGAAAGAGUUUCCAUAAAAGGUAAACUAACUGCGCAGAGUCUCGUUUUUCUUUUUGACUUUGAUAACGCUCGGCUUCAGUUUUCUGUUCUUGAUAUUGGCGUAACUCAGCGUUGAUACCACGUUUCUUGUUAAACGAAUGAGCAGAUAAAUUUACAGCCUUGUCCUGCUCGUCUUUAGAUUUAUCGUACUCAGAUUUAUAUUCCAGAGAGCCACUUAUUUGUUCAACAAGCUUUGAAAGUUCUAAAGGAGAUUGCGAAGCAAUGGUUUCAACAUCACCUUGAAAAACUAAGAAAUUUCGAGCUCGAACAAGAAUAUUCUCCUUUUGGAGAGAUCCGCAGUAUUCAGAAAACGUAACUAUUUCUUCAUCAAUUUUGUAUUCAGUAGCACCAGAAGGAGUGAUUGCGCGUUUAUACUCUCUUUGCUCCCCAUUAUCCAACUCAUACAUAAGUUUCACAUAUGCUGUAGUAGGAUUACUAGAAUCAGUGAAAUCUGUAUUAUCUCUUUGCAGUAUUUUCCCCCGAUAGAUCAGUUCUUUAACAUUAGUUGAUCGUAAAUGAGAAGACUUGACCCCUAAAACAAAAGAAAUGGCAUCCAUUAAAUUCGAUUUUCCGGCUCC